AGAGUUUGAUCCUGGCUCAGGAUGAACGCUGGCGGCAUGCCUAAUACAUGCAAGUCGAACGAGAGGAAGGAAAGCUUGCUUUUCUGAAUCUAGUGGCGAACGGGUGAGUAACACGUAGGUAACCUGCCCAUGUGCCCGGGAUAACUUCUGGAAACGGAUGCUAAAACCGGAUAGGUAGCAGACAAGCAUUUGACUGCUAUUAAAGUGGCUUUGGCCAUGAACAUGGAUGGACCUGCGGUGCAUUAGCUAGUUGGUGAGGUAACGGCCCACCAAGGCGACGAUGCAUAGCCGGCCUGAGAGGGCGGACGGCCACAUUGGGACUGAGACACGGCCCAAACUCCUACGGGAGGCAGCAGUAGGGAAUUUUCGUCAAUGAGGGGAACCCUGAACGAGCAAUGCCGCGUGAGUGAGGAAGGUCUUCGGAUCGUAAAGCUCUGUUGUAAGAGAAAAACGGCACUCAUAGGGAAUGAUGAGUGAGUGAUGGUAUCUUACCAGAAAGUCACGGCUAACUACGUGCCAGCAGCCGCGGUAAUACGUAGGUGGCGAGCGUUAUCCGGAAUGAUUGGGCGUAAAGGGUGCGUAGGUGGCAGAUCAAGUCUGGAGUAAAAGGUAUGGGCUCAACCCGUACUGGCUCUGGAAACUGAUCAGCUAGAGAACAGAAGAGGACGGCGGAACUCCAUGUGUAGCGGUAAAAUGCGUAGAUAUAUGGAAGAACACCGGUGGCGAAGGCGGCCGUCUGGUCUGGAUACUGACACUGAAGCACGAAAGCGUGGGGAGCAAAUAGGAUUAGAUACCCUGGUAGUCCGCACGGUAAACGAUG
rnacentral:rRNA from 1 species